AAUAUUAGUCAAUGGCCUAACGGCUGAACUGGCAACUUGGAGAAGUGGCAAGUCUUCCAGUAUGGGGAGCAAAACAGCUAUGGGUCAAGUCCGAUAUCUUUAGGAGAAGUCUUAUUGUGAGGGCGAGUUAUAUAACACCAUAGGACUGGCCGUCCCAUAUGAAAAGAUUAUAUUAGAAUUGAAUGAAGCUUUGUUUAUAUAUUGAUAAUGACAGUAUAUAUAUCGUGUCUUGACUAAUUGCGUGCCAGCAGUCGCGGUAAUACGUAAGAGACUAGUGUUAUUCAUCUUAAUUAGGUUUAAAGGGUACCCAGACGGUCAAUAUAGCUUAUAAAAUGUUAGUACUUGACUAGAGUUUUAUGUAAGAGGGCAGUACUUGAGGAGGAGAGAUGAAAUUUCGUGAUACCAAAGGGACUCUGUAAAGGCGAAGGCAGCCCUCUAUGUAAAAACUGACGUUGAAGGACGAAGGCACAGAGAACAAACAGGAUUAGAUACCCAAGUAGUCUUUGCAGUAAAUGAUGAAUGCCAUAGGUUAGAUUGAUCAAUUAUAGUCUAGGGUUAGUCUAGCAAACUAAUGCCCUAUGAUAUAAUUCAAAAUAUCUGGUCUAUAAAUGAAAGUGUAAGCAUUUCACCUCAAGAGUAAUGUGGCAACGCAGGAACUGAAAUCACUAGACCGUUUCUGACACCAGUAGUGAAGUAUGUUAUUUAAUUC
rnacentral:rRNA from 1 species